UACGUAGGUGGCAAGCGUUGUCCGGAAUUAUUGGGCGUAAAGCGCGCGCAGGCGGUCCUUUAAGUCUGAUGUGAAAGCCCACGGCUCAACCGUGGAGGGUCAUUGGAAACUGGGGGACUUGAGUGCAGGAGAGAAGAGUGGAAUUCCACGUGUAGCGGUGAAAUGCGUAGAGAUGUGGAGGAACACCAGUGGCGAAGGCGGCGUUCUGGACCACUACUGACGCUGAGGCGCGAAAGCUAGGGGAGCAAACAGG
rnacentral:rRNA from 1 species